rnacentral:rRNA from 1 species
UUGAUCAUGGCUCAGGAUGAACGCUAGCUACAGGCUUAACACAUGCAAGUCGAGGGGCAGCAUGUUGGUUGCUUGCAACCAAUGAUGGCGACCGGCGCACGGGUGAGUAACGCGUAUCCAACCUACCCUUGUCCAUCGGAUAACCCGUCGAAAGGCGGCCUAACACGAUAUGCGGUUCACAGCAGGCAUCUAACGUGAACGAAAUGUGAAGGAGAAGGAUGGGGAUGCGU